rnacentral:ncRNA from 1 species
AUUCAUCUUCGGGGUAGGGUGUAAUUCCCAACCGGCAGUAAUGAAAGCCUGCGACCCACUCAUGUUUCAUAAAGUGAGUGGCUGAUCUAGUGAGAAUCUAGAGCCGACAGUAUAGUCUGGAUGGGAGAAGAUGGAG